AUCGCUUCUCGGCCUUUUGGCUAAGAUCAAGUGUAGUAUCUGUUCUUAUCAGUUUAAAAAUGGGUGUUGGAUUUUGUGGAAUGUUUUUCUGCAUCUAUU
rnacentral:snRNA from 1 species